AGGGAUAUAGCUUAGUGAUACAGCAUUCACUGCAGAUCGAGAGGUCCUCGGUUCAAAUCCGAGUUUCCUCU